GAAUAUUGGACAAUGGGCGCAAGCCUGAUCCAGCCAUGCCGCGUGUGUGACGAAGGCCUUCGGGUUGUAAAGCACUUUCAGCGGGGAGGAAGGGUGUUGUGUUAAUAGCACAGCAUUUUGACGUUACUCGCAGAAGACGCACCGGCUAACUCCGUGCCAGCAGCCGCGGUAAGACGGAGGGUGCAAGCGUUAAUCGGAAUUACUGGGCGUAAAGCGCACGUAGGCGGUGUGUUAAGUUGGAUGUGAAAGCCCCGGGCUCAACCUGGGAAUUGCAUUCAAAACUGGCACGCUAGAGUAUGUGAGAGGGGGGUAGAAUUCCAAGUGUAGCGGUGAAAUGCGUAGAGAUUUGGAGGAAUACCAGUGGCGAAGGCGGCCCCCUGGCACAAUACUGACGCUCAGGUGCGAAAGCGUGGGGAGCAAACAG
rnacentral:rRNA from 1 species